GUGAGGCCCUGAGCAACUCAGCGAGACCCUGUCUCUAAAUAAAAUACAAAAUAGGGCUGGGGAUGGGGCUCAGGGGUUAAGCGCCCUGAGUUCAAUCCCCAGUAGGGCAUCAAAGUAAACUCUCGAGAGACUAAAAAGGCAACUGUUUGAUUAAAAUUCAUAGGACGUUGUUAAUUUGGAUCGAGCCCUUAUAGAGAGCCCCAUGGACCAGCCCCAAAUGGAGUCACUCAUGCUAAGUGUCUGUCACUAAACGAAAACCCAAACUGUGCACUUAUGAACCCCAACAGUCCAAGAAGUCCAGAAAGAGUGACCGCCGGACCCCCAAACAGUCCAGUUUUCUGAAAAACUAACUUGACACCCACCUGAUAGGAUGCGACCAACCCCAGCUGACAAAAUAAGGAAAUUCUCUCUGCUGUGACCCUCCAAGGACAGUAACCAGAAGUAACCAAAGUCAACCAAGCUCCUUUUUUUGUAGCACUUGGGAUUCAACCCCGGGGGUGCUCUGUCUCUAAGCUACAUCUCCAGCCCCGUUCUUUACUUUUGAUUUUCAUUUUGAGAAAGGGUCUCACGACGUGGCUGAGGCUGGCCUCCAACUUGCAAUCCUCCUGUCUCAGCCUCCCAGUGGCUGGGAUUACGAGUGUGUGCCAUUGCACCCAAUUCCCCUUUGAUCCAGCGCACAGAAUGGGAGAAAAUGUUGCAAAUCACAUGUCUGAUCAGGAGAUUCAUAUCUGGAAUAUGUAAGGAGCUCCUAAGACUCAACAACAAGAAAAUCUAAUUAAAAUGGGCAAGAAUUGCACAGCAACAUAAGUAGACUCAAUGCCUGUGUGGGACGGAAUGAGAAAACAGUCACUCAGCAGCCACUUUGAACCCCAGAGGUAAGCGGGUCAUUUCUCUGGACACCAAUCAAUUUGGCACAUUCUCUAGCAGGUGUCCUCUAACUCAAUUCUCAAUUCAGUUUCUCUCUCUCUCUCUCUCUCUCUCUCUCUGUGUAUCUCUGUCUAGUACUGGGGAUUGACCCUACUUUACCACUCAGCUAUACCUCUUUUAAGUUUUAUUUUGAGACAGGGUCUCACUAAAUGGCUGAGGCUGGCCUCCAACUUGCGAUCCUCCUGUUUCAGCCUCUGGAGCCACACUCAGCCUAAUUCAAUUCAGUCCUGACUCUGAUCUACCUAGAGAGAACAUUAGACCUCACAUUGUGUCAUCCUUUGGCAAAAAGAAAGACCAUGUUCCUGAAAGGCGCGCUUCCAUUCCCAAGAACCUAGCCAAGUUAAGAGAACAAUGAAAGCAGACCUCUACUACACUGUCCAGAAAUGUAUUAAUAUAGCCGGGAUCAGUGCCACACGCCUGUCAUCCCAGCAGCUUGGGAGGCUGAGGCAGGAAGAUCGCAAGUUGGAGGCCAGCCUCAACAACAGCGAGGCCCUAAGCAACUCAGGGAGACCCUGUCCCUAAAUAAAAUAUGAAAAGGGCUGGGGAUGGGGCUCAGGGGUCGAGGGCCCCUGGUACCCCGCAUCUCUGUCCCAACAGGAACAGCGGUGGUCACUAGUUGCUCAGGAAGGGGCAUUUGGACUUUGAGGGCUAAGUUCCCUUUGCUGAUUUACCCACCUCUGGCCCUUGUGGGGCCACAAGAGCCACUGACUUUUAUACAUAUGUGUGUAUUUUUUUUAAGUUGUUGAUGGAACUUUAUUUUAUUUUAUAAAAUAUAUUUUUAGUUGUUAAUGGACUUUUCUUUCUUUACAUGCGGUGUUGAGAAUCGAACCCGGGGCCUCCCACAUGCUACGCAAGUCCCAACCACUGAGCCUCAGCCACUGACGCUUGAGAAGGAACCGAUCUGUUGUCCUCCUGGGGUUCACUCAGACACUAGGCAAGGAAAUGUCACAGAGCAGACAGGCCUCUCUCUCCUCUUGCCCUGGAACCCGACGGUGGAGGCUCCAUCCAGCCCACAGCCCAGAGAUGGCGUCCAGAUGGCUCACGCCUGUCAUCCCAGCAGCUCCGGAGGCUGAGGCAGGAGGAUCGCAAGGUGGAGGCCAGCCCGGAAGACCCCGGAAGAUCUGAGAUCUCUCUGCACAAGACCAGCCCCAUCAAAGAGGAACCAGGACCCAGACCCGGUGGACAACCCUAACCACCAAGAGGAAGUGGACUGAGAGGGUUUGUCACUUCUUCAAAGAUAUCCUGGUUUUUUUUUCUUUUCUUUUUUUUUUUGAUACCAGGGUUUGAACACAGGGG
rnacentral:lncRNA from 1 species